AAGACAAGUAAUUACAUUCACAGAAUAUCCUCAUGAUGCCUGCUAUGUCACAAAUAAUACAGUUGCUGUCGCAUUAGGAAUAAACAACAAGACAGUGCUGGUGGAUUUAAAAAAGAAUCAAAUUAUUCAAACAAUUCAACUUUCUCAUGAUUGUUUUGGAGUAGCAAGUGACGGUAAACUGUUGGUCAUCAGCAGUGACCAGAAAAGUACUAUUGUUAAUCUGAAUGAUAUGUCUCAAACAAUCUUAGAAGGAGUAAGAGUAACACAUUUAUCAUUAUUUGGAGGUUAUAUCUAUGGUACCAUUUACUAUGGAAAACAAAGUCUGCUGCUACAAAAGUACUGGAGAACUUCUGUGGACAUUUCAGCACCAUGACAUUGACGGUCCAGAAGGAAUUGCAUUAGACAAGAAUGGCUUUGUUUAUAUAGCUUCUCGUAAAAACAACAGAAUAGUGGUAGUAUCACCAGAUGGUAAAACCUGUAAGACAAUACUAUCAGAUGUGGAUGGAAUCAAUUAUCCUGUUUAUAUAGACAUAAACAGAGAAACAGGAAUUAUGAUAGUGUCAAGUAAAAUAAGGGAAACAGGUGUUAUACUUGAAUUUAGUAGCAAUCAU
rnacentral:lncRNA from 1 species